GGCAAACGGGUGAGUAACGCGUAAGUAACCUGUCCCUAAGUAGGGGAUAACUCUGAGAAAUCGGAGCUAAUACCGUAUGUGGUGCUGAGGGUAAUGCUUCAUCACUAAAGCCUUCGGGCGCUGAGGGAAGGGCUUGCGUCCGAUUAGCUAGUUGGUAGAGUAGCGGUCUACCAAGGCGAUGAUCGGUAGCUGGUUUGAGAGGAUGGUCAGCCACACUGGGACUGAGACACGGCCCAGACUCCUACGGGAGGCAGCAGCAAGGAAUUUUGUGCAAUGGGCGAAAGCCUGACACAGCGACGCCGCGUGGGGGAUGAAGGCUUUCGGGUUGUAAACCCCUUUUCCCAGGGAGGAAUAAUGACAGUACCUGGGGAAUAAGCCAUGGCUAACUACGUGCCAGCAGCCGCGGUAAAACGUAGGUGGCAAGCGUUAUCCGGAUUUAUUGGGCGUAAAGAGGGCGCAGGUGGCUUUUCAAGUCGGAUGUAAAAUCUCCCGGCUUAACUGGGAGGGACCAUUCGAUACUGUUAAGCUAGAGUGCAACAGGGGAAGGUAGAAUUCCCGGUGUAGUGGUGAAAUGCGUAGAUAUCGGGAGGAA
rnacentral:rRNA from 1 species